GGAUGUGAGGGACAUCUGGCUGUGACAUCUGUUGCCCCACUGAUCGCCAGAGUUGAUUCAGCUGAUCUGGCUGGCUAGGCGGGUGUCCCCUUCCUCCCUCAAUGCUCUAUGUGUGUCCUUCCUGAAGCUGCACGCUCAGUCAAAGAGGAUGACCACCCUUGAUAGAGGAGGAUGGUUCUCCUCAAGGGUGUAUGAGUAGCUGCGCUCUCCUGCUAGCACCUCCAAACAAGCUCUCAAGGAAGUUGGUGGUAUAUUCUUUCCUAAGGAAAAAUGCAUCUGUAAUUUUUUCAUU
rnacentral:snRNA from 1 species